rfam:Gossypium raimondii Chr05_contig_1282, whole genome shotgun sequence.
CACGUCAGCGCGCUUUGCUGACGUGGACAGAAAUCGCGUUGGCGUGGACGCGAUUUGUUGCCACGUCAUCAAAGCGCGCUGACGUGG